rnacentral:snRNA from 1 species
CUAUGAGAGGGCGAUCUGGCUGCGAUGUCUGUCACCCCAUUGAUCGUCAGGGUUGAUUCGGCUGAUCUGGCUGGCUAGGAGGGUAUCCCCUUCCUCCCUCACUGCUCCAUGUGCGUCCCUCUUGAAGCUUGGCAGUCGGUCGAAGAGGACAGCCCUCCCCUAACAGAGACAGACCAGUCUUUGGUCGAGGGGAAUAAAGAUAAAAUUUUGAAAAUUCAUGCCGGUGACCUUUUUUU